rnacentral:rRNA from 1 species
UAGCCAUGGGCAGGUUGAAGGUUGGGUAACACUAACUGGAGGACCGAACCGACUAAUGUUGAAAAAUUAGCGGAUGACCUGUGGCUGGGGGUGAAAGGCCAAUCAAACCGGGAGAUAGCUGGUUCUCCCCGAAAGCUAUUUAGGUAGCGCCUCGUGAAUUCAUCUCCGGGGGUAGAGCACUGUUUCGGCUAGGGGGCCAUCCCGGCUUACCAACCCGAUGCAAACUGCGAAUACCGGAGAAUGUUAUCACGGGAGACACACGGCGGGUGCUAACGUCCGUCGUGAAGAGGGAAACAACCCAGACCGCCAGCUAAGGUCCCAAAGUCAUGGUUAAGUGGGAAACGAUGUGGGAAGGCCCAGACAGCCAGGAUGUUGGCUUAGAAGCAGCCAUCAUUUAAAGAAAGCGUAAUAGCUCACUGGUCGAGUCGGCCUGCGCGGAAGAUGUAACGGGGCUAAACCAUGCACCGAAGCUGCGGCAGCGACACUGUGUGUUGUUGGGUAGGGGAGCGUUCUGUAAGCCUGUGAAGGUGUGUCGUGAGGCAUGCUGGAGGUAUCAGAAGUGCGAAUGCUGACAUAAGUAACGAUAAAGCGGGUGAAAAGCCCGCUCGCCGGAAGACCAAGGGUUCCUGUCCAACGUUAAUCGGGGCAGGGUGAGUCGACCCCUAAGGCGAGGCCGAAAGGCGUAGUCGAUGGGAAACGGGUUAAUAUUCCCGUACUUGGUGUUACUGCGAAGGGGGGACGGAGAAGGCUAUGUUGGCCGGGCGACGGUUGUCCCGGUUUAAGCGUGUAGGUGUGUGUUCCAGGUAAAUCCGGUUCACUUUAACACUGAGGCGUGACGACGAGGCACUACGGUGCUGAAGCAACAAAUGCCCUGCUUCCAGGAAAAGCCUCUAAGCAUCAGGUAACAUCAAAUCGUACCCCAAACCGACACAGGUGGUCAGGUAGAGAAUACCAAGGCGCUUGAGAGAACUCGGGUGAAGGAACUAGGCAAAAUGGUGCCGUAACUUCGGGAGAAGGCACGCUGACACGUAGGUGAAGUGAUUUACUCAUGGAGCUGAAGUCAGUCGAAGAUACCAGCUGGCUGCAACUGUUUAUUAAAAACACAGCACUGUGCAAACACGAAAGUGGACGUAUACGGUGUGACGCCUGCCCGGUGCCGGAAGGUUAAUUGAUGGGGUCAGCGCAAGCGAAGCUCCUGAUCGAAGCCCCGGUAAACGGCGGCCGUAACUAUAACGGUCCUAAGGUAGCGAAAUUCCUUGUCGGGUAAGUUCCGACCUGCACGAAUGGCGUAAUGAUGGCCAGGCUGUCUCCACCCGAGACUCAGUGAAAUUGAACUCGCUGUGAAGAUGCAGUGUACCCGCGGCAAGACGGAAAGACCCCGUGAACCUUUACUAUAGCUUGACACUGAACAUUGAGCCUUGAUGUGUAGGAUAGGUGGGAGGCUUUGAAGUGUGGACGCCAGUCUGCAUGGAGCCGACCUUGAAAUACCACCCUUUAAUGUUUGAUGUUCUAACGUGGACCCGUUACCCGGGUUGCGGACAGUGUCUGGUGGGUAGUUUGACUGGGGCGGUCUCCUCCUAAAGAGUAACGGAGGAGCACGAAGGUUGGCUAAUCCUGGUCGGACAUCAGGAGGUUAGUGCAAUGGCAUAAGCCAGCUUGACUGCGAGCGUGACGGCGCGAGCAGGUGCGAAAGCAGGUCAUAGUGAUCCGGUGGUUCUGAAUGGAAGGGCCAUCGCUCAACGGAUAAAAGGUACUCCGGGGAUAACAGGCUGAUACCGCCCAAGAGUUCAUAUCGACGGCGGUGUUUGGCACCUCGAUGUCGGCUCAUCACAUCCUGGGGCUGAAGUAGGUCCCAAGGGUAUGGCUGUUCGCCAUUUAAAGUGGUACGCGAGCUGGGUUUAGAACGUCGUGAGACAGUUCGGUCCCUAUCUGCCGUGGGCGCUGGAGAACUGAGGGGGGCUGCUCCUAGUACGAGAGGACCGGAGUGGACGCAUCACUGGUGUUCGGGUUGUCAUGCCAAUGGCACUGCCCGGUAGCUAAAUGCGGAAGAGAUAAGUGCUGAAAGCAUCUAAGCACGAAACUUGCCCCGA